ACGUCAGGAAAUUGUGGUACUUCAUUUCAACUAGCAACCAUUUAAGUUGAAAUAUUUCCCAAACAGAAAAAGGAUACUGAGUAGGACAAUCAUGUCACAAAUGCCUUUUUUUAAACAAGACAGCCCAAGGGUUUCUCUCUGGAACACUGCCACUAAAUCAUCGCCUUUGUUAAACAGCUCACAGCAGGUGGAGAGAUAGCAAUGAAAAGGGAAAGCUAAUAUCAAAAUGAACUGAAGGAACUUAAGAGUGUGCUCGUUGUUCUCACAUUUGAAAAUAUAACCUUAGUUAAAUUAGACUUUUUUUUCCCCCAAACGGGCCUACUGUGUGUCUGUUUAUCUUGAUGAUAUUAAUGUAGUAUAUGGGGGGAGGGUGUGCUCACAUUUCCUCCUUCCAGCUCAUUUCCUCUAUUAGAGGCAUCAAAGCCUGAAAAUUCUGUGCAGUGUCUGAGCUAUUCCUGUACUCUUCUGCAGAUAUUUGAAGAAAAAAAAAAACGAAGGUUAGUCUUCAAAUCUGCUGCACCUACUCACUAGGUUUGAUAGUCUCAUCACGGAACGCACCUGAAAUCCUCCCCAGUGUGUUAGACCAUGACCUCUAUCGAUCUUGUGCUUAGAAUCCGUUCAUGUGCUGUUACAAGGAAUACCUCUGUGCUGUCUUUUAUACCAGCCACUAGUAAGAUUUCUCAGUAUUAGCCACUUAAUACCAUUGACGGUAGAUGCCAUGCUUGGGUAUGUCACUCCACAAUGGCUAUUCUCCUGGUUAAGAGGUUUCUGCUGCCUGAGAAAAUUUUAUUCAGGAGUUUCUCGCUGGAAGCCAUCCACCUUAAGUAUCCCAAGAUCUUUGCUGUUUCCGAGAUCAUGGUUCUCAUGUUUCUGAGUUCUCAGCCAACCUCCUUCCUUUCUUAGUGUACAAUUUCAGGAUGCUGGAUUUGCGGUGAAAUCUUCCAUGUGUUGAUUAAAAAAAACGUGCAAAAGUGUGGCAGCAUCAAAAUGCACCAUUGUGUGUAUGCUAAUGUAGCUUAUACAACAUGUAUGGCAUCACACAAUAUUUGCAAUAGGAAGCAAGUCUUCAGAAAAUCUUGCGAGACCGCACAAGAAGUCAGUUUAACGAGCAUCACACAAUUACCUUAAAAUGCUUUUUUUUUUUUGCUGGCAUUUGACUGCUUGGUUGACUUUUUCAAAAGGAAGUGGCUGCCGCAACAAUACCAUGAGCUGAGAAAACAGGAAGAUACUCUCGAGUGACCCACAUUCAGUGCUGUCCCUAACCCGACUGUGUCACAAUGGAGUGUCCAUCCAUGCAAGUCAGCGAUGAUGUGACAUUAAGCCAGGAGUCGAGCAAGCAGAUGGCAGGGCAGAAGGACCAGCGGGUGAAGAUUGUCAGGCUGAAGAGAGGCGGUGAAGGCCAUGUAGCGGGGUCGAAUGUACUCUGAGAGCCACAAGGUGUGUGAAGAGUCCCACUGUCAAAGUGGAGAAGAUAUUCCCAGAUAAAUUCCUACAAGCAGAAAAACACAGGGAACGGACUGUGAGGCCAGAAGCAUCAGCAGAGAAGGCUUCCCUCCUCAAUACACCCCCCAGCCACAUUCAGCUCAUGGACUGGGGCCCGAUGGGUUAGUCAAUUGACAGAGAUCAUCGUCUUUCCCGAUUCUUCUCCGAGCUCUCCUCCUGGUGGGACAUGCCCACAACACCUCACCAAGAAGGGGUCCAGGAGGCAUUUGAACCAGACGCCCAAGCCAGUUGAGGUCAUCUGGCUUCUCUUGAUGCAAAGCAGCAACGGAUCUACUCUCAGAACUGCCCGGAGGACUUCUCACUCUCGAAUGCCGCGACUGAGUUAUUCGACACAAUACACAUUAAGUCAAUGUAGUGUUAAUUGAUUGAUGUGUGCGAGGCGCCGCGAAUGAGGGCAAGCACAUUUGCGCAAGUUGGUAAAUUUGAACUGAAAGACACACAGUUUCGAGAACUUACUAUGUCACACACUUGGCACAGACAAAUGGUGUCCUGUGCAGGUAGCAUGGAGAAAUAAUAUAGGACAAA